AAUUUUUGACAAUGGGGGAAACCCUGAUCCAGCCAUCCCGCGUCUGCGAUGAAGGCCCUCGGGUUGUAAAGCACUCUUGUCUGGGAAGAAAAGGUUCUGUCCAAUUCCCGGAACUGAUGACGGUUCCUGAAGAAUAAGCACCGGCUAACUACUUGCCAGCAGCCGGGGUAAUACGUAGGGUGUAAGCGUUAAUCGGAAUUACUGGGCGUAAAGCGUGCGCAGGCGGUUCGGAAAGAAGGAUGUGAAAUCCCAGGGCUUAACCUUGGAACUGCAUUCUUAACUACCGAACUAGAGUAUGUCAGAGGGGAGUAGAAUUCCGCGUGUAGCAGUGAAAUGCGGAAAUAUGCGGAAGAACAACGAUGGCGAAGGCAGCCCCCUGGGAUAAUACUGACGCUCAUGCACGAAAGCGUAGGUAGCAAACAGG
rnacentral:rRNA from 1 species